AAAACAACUCUCGGCAACGGAUAUCUCGGCUCUCGCAUCGAUGAAGAACGUAGCGAAAUGCGAUACUUGGUGUGAAUUGCAGAAUCCCGUGAACCAUCGAGUCUUUGAACGCAAGUUGCGCCCGAAGCCUUCUGGCCGAGGGCACGUCUGCCUGGGCGUCACGC
rnacentral:rRNA from 1 species